rnacentral:rRNA from 1 species
UACGAAGGGUGCAAGCGUUAAUCGGAAUUACUGGGCGUAAAGCGUGCGCAGGCGGUUUUGCAAGCCGGAUGUGAAAUCCCCGGGCUCAACCUGGGAAUGGCAUUCGGGACUGCAAGGCUGGAGUGCGGCAGAGGAGACUGGAAUUCCUGGUGUAGCAGUGAAAUGCGUAGAUAUCAGGAGGAAUACCGAUGGCGAAGGCAGGUCUCUGGGCUGACACUGACGCUCAUGCACGAAAGCGUGGGGAGCAAACAGG